GUACUCUCCUGGCGGGGGGACACCUUCAUCACCAAGGUGGUUUUCGCAGGGCGGGGCUGGCCCAUUGCACUACGGAUGUGCUGACCCCUGCGACUUCCUCAAAUGGGGGAAACCCGACGGAAUAAUUUGUGGGAGUGGGUGACUGCACUGGCGUUCACCCC
ensembl:snRNA U1 U1 spliceosomal RNA